CGAUAGUGAAACACCACCAACCAAUAUCCGUAAAGAUGAGAGCAUUAUAAAUAUGGUUAUGCAUGUUGUGGUUAGCUAUAUUGGUAGAGUGUAUGUAAGUCCAAAGACGUAUCUUGUACAUCACGAACUGCGGAACUUCAUGCUCAUUGCUCCUUCCACUCAGCUUCUUUCUGGGCUGUCACCCGGACCAAAUGAUGCUCACCCUUUCAUUGAUGCAACAAUGAGUCAGAUAACAAUGAGCAUUCUCUGGUAGGUUCGGUUGUUCAUAAACUGCUGCUUAACUACAUUUCACGGCCACGAUCAAAAUUAGUGCAUCGUAUACGUUAAUAUCCGAAGAAAAUUAGCUAGGUGUACUGAAGAGAGUUGGUUCUGCUGCUGCAAAUAUAGUGCUACUUUUGUCAAUUCAAGUUUUGAAGCUUCUAGAAGUCAACUGGUUGACAGCAGUAUCAAUAUAUUACUUAUUCUCAUUCAUUAUCGUAAAUGCAUUCUUGUGGAAUCUGUGAAAAACAUUAAUGUUGGAAAAUCCGUAUUAUAAAGCAUUGGAAAAUGUUAAGAAUGUUGAGUGUAAGAUCCAUUUAUCGUUUGUAAGAUCCAUUUCUCUUUCUUUCUAAUUAUUGUAUUUGAAUUAUGUAACCCAUAUUGCAGUUGAUCGGGUGGAUAUUGACGGAAAUGCACAUAGUGGUCCGCUUGUUAGAUUGGCCUUUGCUUCUCUCUAUGAUACACUUGGCAUGUGCUUGACCGAUGAAACUACAGUUCUGUUGCUGUAUGCUUUGGUUCAUGGGAAUUCAGACUUUCUAGAAUACGUUCUGGUUCGAACGGAUAUAGAUACAUUGGCUCAAGCUAUGUGAACACAAUUGGAAGACAUUCAAGCUCGUCUUGAAAAUGAGACGAAGGCGAGAGAAGAUCAUGUCUCGUCUUGAAAUUGAGAGAAACGCAAGAGAAGAUCUAGUAAUUAGUUAUAAGUUGGUAUCGUUUUAAACAUAUAUGCAUGCUAAGAGUUUGUUUUGUGGUUUAGACAUACUAGAUAUUAUAGCGUUAUGGAUGUUACAAGUUGGUUAGCUUUAUUGUGGAUUUUAAGACAUGCUUUAUAAUUUUCUAAUGAUUUCG